rnacentral:rRNA from 1 species
AACGAACGCUGGCGGCAGGCCUAACACAUGCAAGUCGAGCGAGGACUUCGGUUCUAGCGGCGGACGGGUGAGUAACGCGUGGGGAUGUGCCCUUCUCUACGGAAUAGCCCUGGGAAACUGGGAGUAAUACCGUAUACGCCCUUUUGGGGAAAGAUUUAUCGGAGAAGGAUCAGCCCGCGUUGGAUUAGGUAGUUGGUGGGGUAAUGGCCUACCAAGCCGACGAUCCAUAGCUGGUUUGAGAGGAUGAUCAGCCACACUGGGACUGAGACACGGCCCAGACUCCUACGGGAGGCAGCAGUGGGGAAUCUUAGACAAUGGGGGCAACCCUGAUCUAGCCAUGCCGCGUGAGUGAUGAAGGCCUUAGGGUUGUAAAGCUCUUUCAGCUGGGAAGAUAAUGACGGUACCAGCAGAAGAAGCCCCGGCUAACUCCGUG